rnacentral:rRNA from 1 species
AACACCUGCAUUAUUUGACGUUACCUACAGAAGAAGCACCGGCUAACUCCGUGCCAGCAGCCGCGGUAAUACGGAGGGUGCGAGCGUUAAUCGGAAUUACUGGGCGUAAAGCGCAUGCAGGCGGCCUGUUAAGUCAGAUGUGAAAGCCGGGGCGUUAACCUCGGAAUUGCAUUUGAAACUAGGCAGGCUAGAGUCUUGUAGAGGGGGUAGGAAGUUUCUAGGUGUAGCGGUGAAAUAGCGUAGAGAUCUGAAGGAAUACCAGUGGCGAAGGCGGCCCCCUCGGACAAAGACUGACGCUCAGAUGCGAAAGCGUGGGGAGCAAACAGGAUUAGAUACCCUGGUAG